rnacentral:lncRNA from 1 species
GUGAUCCUGAAUGAAUGGCAAGUUGUCCUUUUUCAGAUAAUUCUGAUCAUUUAGAAAAUACAAGAUGAUUAUUUUUCGAUUUAUUUUGAAUAUCAGAUUUGUACUUUUGAUGAUUAUGUGUGUGCUGAUUGACUUUCCACUCCUGUUAGUUGCAGAAAAAUUUUCAUUGUGUGAUUUGAUUCUGAUUUUAUUGUUUAUUCCCUUUGGGAUCUUGCCUUUUUGUGCAAAGGGGAUUGCAUACUCUAAUAAACUUUCUGCACUGUUGGUAGUUAACUUUGUCAUAAUGGCCAGAAGUUACGAGCCUGAUGAAAUGGUGCCUGUUUCUCUGUGA